UUUUUUUUUUUUUUUGGAAUUCACAGGAAACAAGAUUCUGAUGCAGAGAGCCACUAGUUCAUAAAAAAUUUCAGAAUAAGCAUAUGAAGCCUUGAACUCUGGCACAAUGUGAUGCCACAUGGAUGGGCUGACACCAGCCUGACAUGAUAUUUGUUUUGUUGAUAUUAAGGCUCUCAAAUCGCAAAAAUAAAUUGAAAAUGCACUUUUUAGGAAAAAAAAAGUCUAUUUUAAGUAAUUCGUUUAAUUUAGAUCAGAGAUGUUCCCUCUGUCUUUCUUCUCUUGUAAAAAAAUUUUCAUAAAACCAAUCAGCCCUCUGUAAUUGUGAAUGCAUCAGAAGCUGUGAAAUGUACAUUCUGGUAAUAAAAUUCUGCUGGAAUCAAUUAUGUUGGGCUGCAAGAAGCUAUCUGCUUCCUGUACGAUGCAUAACAUCCGGCUUAAACAGUAUCAACAUUAAUAAGCUGCUCUUAAGUUUCUAUAUAGCUUUCUCUGGGGAGAAUUUGUUACUGUCAGUCAACUGUCAAAUGCUUAUAGUAUGAUUAAUGAAUCAUAUUUAGAUGAUUGACAGUGAAAGUCUACUUUAUAGAACGUGUCAAUCAUUUUUAUAGCUGCUCUCCAUUUUCAUGGACAUUAGCAAUACUGUUCUUAACUUUGGAGCAUUAUAAGCCCAACUCUGCAUGCUCUAGGCCACUAAGCUACACAGACAUCUGGAGAAGAUUUUAUCCCAUUUCUUUCUGUGUUGCUCUAGGCUAAACCCAAAUAUUCUUGUUUGCCCUCUCGAAGCUCAAAGCAAGCAGCUAGGUGAAGCAGACAAUACAUUUUAAGUGAAAAAUUAAUGAGUGAGGGUUCUCGUACAGAAUUGUAUUAUCCAGUUGAUAAUUUAUAACGCAGAGUCCAAAGUGGAAUGCUUUAGUUUCAAUCAUGCAGUUUUCCAUGCUUUUACCUUUCAAUGAUUCAUUUAUCAUUUUGUUCUUAUGUGCAUUCCUCCAAUUUAAUUCAGAUCCUUAAAAACAUCCUAAUCUUUUCAAGUAAAGGAUGGCUCCACUGAAACAUUAACAGUUUUAUUCAUUUGACUCCAAAAUUCUUUACACACUCUUGGAAAACAAUGAUGUGUUUAACUGGAAAUUACAAUGUGGUUUUUUAAUGUGUUGGCUAUAAGUUACUGAAUCCAUAUUUACAAUAAAUUUUAACAGGCAACUAUUUUUCAGGGUAAAAAUAGUCAAAGUUUUUCAAACCUAGAAAUAAUAAAAGACUGUAAGUAAUAAGACCAGAAAAGGAAAUCAAGCACUGAUAACUGAUAUUUUUCAUGUAUAUAAGGAUUUUUUUCCAUUAUAGCUGGUUUACAGUGUUCUAUCAGUUUUCUACUGUACAGCAUGGUGACCCAGUUACACAUACAUGUAUACAUUCUUUGUUCUCACAUUAUCAGGCUCCAUCACAAAUGAUUUUUUUUUAAAUCUUUAUCCUUUGGAGUUUGUGUGGUUUGGCCAAGGAAAUAAUGCAGAAGGCAAAGUGAUGCCUUCUCUGUUCUUUGAUUUCUUCUGCUAUUUUCUGUGAAACCAAAGAUAGGCAAAAAGGGUGCAACUAUCUUACUGGCCAUGCAAAGCAGCAUCAUGCAUAAAGACUAUGACGUUUUGUACAAGAUCUGCCCUCACUUGGUAGCUGUUUGGCUUUUAGAAAUUGGCUUAACUCGCCCAAAGUCUCAUCUGUAAACUGAUACAACAGUACUUGGGUUCAAAGGUGCUGGGGGAUUUAAAUAAAAUAUUAUAUGUAAUGACCUGACAUGAUGCCUUUCCCAUAACUGGAGCUAAUUUUUUUUAAAUCCUCUUUUGUAUCUACCAUAGAACCUAGCAUAGCAGGAAUACAUGCACAGUAUACAUAAUGUCACUUAACAAAUAUUUGUUAAAUUUAAUUUUAAAAAGUCAGAGAAGAAAGUAGCGGUCUCUGGUUUCCCUCAGGUCAUCAUGGUGGCAAUGACAGCCUUGGUAACUGGCUACUUUGCAUAGGAUUCUUUUUCUGUGGUGAAAGGGGUUAACAGAAUAACUUUCGUACUCGUCUCUUUUCCUUCCCAGUUUUCAUUAGCAGCACAAAGAAAGAUCAUUUCUAAUUUUUGAUUCACUGGGAAACUCUGAUUCUCUUUCCUUUUUCUUCUGUUACACAUCCUUACCUUUGUCUUUUUCUUUUUUCAUCCUCCAAAUACAGGAAUUGCAUCAAGGCUUCAAAUAACAUGCCUGUUCCAAUUGGCUGGUAAUGGCUGUCUAGAGAUGGAUUCUGAUCAGGUUCAGCAGGAAUGAUCAAUUAGCAAUGUCUGCUACAGGCACAGGAGGGGGCAAAUAAAUUUUGUGUGCCAAAUAUUUGCCAACCCAAUCCAAAUCCCACUACAGCUAUAUUUCUGCUUCAUUAUAUGUUGAAAGUCAUGAGCAGUUUUUACAUUAUCUACAUGAGAUGACAGCCAAAGGCUGGAUAGGUUUGUCUCAGAGAGUUCAUAGACCAGUAAAUUAUUUUUAAUUAACAGCUUGUCUGGGACCCGAGCUGAAGAGCUCCUUGAGCAAACAUACUUUGAUGCACAGAGAGGUCAGGCUGCUGGUCUAACUACAUGGACAGACAGAUGGACGGACAGACUAACAGAAUCCUGGCAAUACUUAUACAAAAUUUGUGACUGCAUUGGAAAGAAUACUUAACUGUAUGGCAUUAUAUUAAGAACUAUUCUUAAACUACUGAUAUAUUACUAUUAAAUAGAACAUCAUACACUAAUGAUAAGAUUUGAACACAUUCACAAAAUAUUUUAGUAUUUUUGAAAAAAGAAGCUUUUUUUCCCCAGUGAAUAAAGAAGCAUAUAUCUGGGGAGUUCCUAUUGUGGCUCAGCAGGUUAAGAACCCAACUAGUAUCCAAGAGGAUGCAAGUUCAAUCCCUGGCCUUGAUCAGUGCGUUAAGGAUCAGGCAUUGCCGUGAGCUGUGGUGUAGGUCACAGACGUGGCUCAGAUCCCAUGUUGCUGUGGCUCUGGCGUAGGCCAGCAGCUACAGCUCUGAUUAUACCCCUAGCCUGGAAACCUCCAUAUGCCACAGGUGUGGCCCUAGAAAAGACAAAAAGGAAAAAGAAGAAGAAGCAAAUUUCUGGAUAUUUACCCAAGUAACACUGAUGGAAAAUGCUAGAUCCAUCCACAGUUAUGAACUAGUCCAGAAAACUGAAAUGUCACAGGGACCACCUACUACCUACAAUUCUUUUCUUACUAGUAUUGGCCUUUGAACCAUUCUUUUUUGACUCAUAGCUUUAAAAUAAACAUGUAUGUUAAUAAAAUAAUUUUAGAUCGUACAAAGAUGGAUAUAUGUCCUUUUCCUAAGAUUGUUGAGGAGGCUGGAGGGGACUUUUUUCUUCUUCGUCUCAAGCUAGUAGCCUGAUUGCUGU
rnacentral:lncRNA from 1 species